rnacentral:rRNA from 1 species
UAUAUUCGUGAUGGCUUUAAAAGGUAUCAAAUCAAAAUCAAAAUUACCAGAAAAAUAUAGGUAAAAUUCAUGAUAAAAUGCAUCAGAAUGCAGCUUUCAAGUAGCUAACAACUUCGACUAAUUAACAACUCUAGCCAACAACUAACGAAAUAAUAAGUAAAGUAAACAGUUAUCUAUAAGAAAUAUGAAGGAUAUACAUAUAAACUAUGUAAAAAUUCAAUAUACAGAUAUACAUAUAAACUAUGUAAAAAUCUAAUAUACAGAUAUACAUAUAAACUAUGUAAAAAUCUAAUAUACAGAUAUACAUAUAAACUAUGUAAAAAUCAAAUAUACAUGUUAAUUUAGUUUAUUAAUUAUAAUAUUAUAAUGGGAAAUAUAUAAUUGAUCCUGGAGUAUAGAAUAAGAGAGCAUAUCCGCCGAAUUUAAGCAUAUAAUUAAGCGGAAGAAAAGAAAAUAACAAUGAUUCCUUUAGUAACGGCGAGUGAACGAGGAAGAGCUCAAAAGGAAAAUCCGCUUCAUGGUGAAAACUAUGAUGUGGAAUUGUCUGGUUAGGGUUUAUUUAUUCCUCCCUAUGCUUUGUUGGGUACGAAAUUAGUAGGAAUACUAUUCCAUAGAGGGUGAAAGGCCCGUAGUUCCCUACAAUUAUAGAUGGAGAUUACUCCCUGUAGAGUAGUGUUCUUUGAGAUUGGAGCGCAAAUUCGUGUGAUAUAUUUCACAUAAAGCUAAAUAUUUGUAGGAGACCGAUAGCAAACAAGUACCGUGAGGGAAAGAUGAAAUAGCACUCAGGAAUGAGAUUUAAAUAGUACCUGAAAUCGUUAAGGUGGAACGGAUUGAGAGAUAUAUAACGUAAGAUAUAAUUAAAUGCUAGUCGGCGGGCUUAGCUUUAAGAGGAAGGAAAAUUAUCUAUCUUAUUAAAAUAAGCAGGAGUGAACUUUUAGGAUAAUUAAAAUAUGGCCAAGUAUUCUUUAUAAUCAUAGUAUGAUUAAUAAAGUUUUCGUAUCAUUCCGCUAAAGGUUUAUGCGAGCUAUUUUGAUAUAUCCAGUUUACUGAGGUGUAAUAAAAUUUGUAGGAGUGACGUCCAUACAUAUUUAAGUUGCUUUUAAAAACUAUUUCUCAACCCACCCGUCUUGAAACACGGACCAAGGAGUCUAACAAAUGUGCGAGCGUAUAUAUAUAUGUUUUAAAUAUACUAUAAAGAAAUUAUACUUUAUAAUUACGCAUAAUUAAUGUGACCAUUUUUGGCUUAAAUGGAUGUAGAUUAUACUGAAAUUAAAUAAUAUUUAAUUUCAUUUGAAGUAUAUGCAUACAAUGCCUGUUAGCAAUUAUGCUAAAUUGAGUAAGAGUAUAUUUGUUAGGACCCGAGAGGCUUUGAACUAAGCGUGGUGAGAUUGAAGUCAAAUUUUUUUGAUGGAGGAUCGAAUUGGUACUGACGUGCAAAUCGUUCAUUUCAAUCACGUUUAGGGGCGAAAGACUAAUCGAAAAGCCUAUUAGCUGGUUAUUUUCGAAAGAUCUCUCAGGAUCGCUGGAGUUGAUUAAUAUAAUUUUAUGAGGUAGAGAUAAAGAUUAGAGGAAUCAGGGAAAUAUGUAUCCUUGACCCUAUUCUAGAUCUUACAAUACGUAACAAGGGAUUAAUAUCUUAACUGUAUUUUUUCCACUUAUAAAUAAAAUAACUCCAAGUGGGCCAUUUUUGGUAAGCAGAACUGGCGAUGAGGGAUGAUCCUAACGCUUGGAUAAGGUGCCUAAAUAUUCGUUAAUAGAUACCGUUAAAGGUGUUGGUUCGUAUUGACACUAGGACGGUCUUCAUAGAAGUCGAAAUCCGCUAAGGAGUGUGUAACAACUCACCUACCGAAUGAACUAGCCCUGAAAAUGGAUGGCGCUAAAACGGAUUACCGAUACCGAGCCAUAGAAAGAGACCAAACUAGAAGAUUUACGCCCUUAGUAGUUUCUUAAAUCUUUCUAUGAGUAGAAAAUCGUGGGGUUUGUGUAGAAGCAAUAUGCGUGAGCUAUUGUGGAACAUAUCCCUAGUGCAGAUCUUGGUGGAAGUAGCAAUAUUCAAAUGAGAACUUUGAAGACUGAAGUGGAGAAGGGUUUCUUGCCAACUACAAUUGUACAAGAGUUAGCCGCUCCUAAGGGAAAGCUGAAAAGCAUUUAAAUGGGGAUUUGGUGCUUCAAGCAAUUGUUGCAUUUUUUCUCUGUCCCAAAAGGGAAACAGGCUAAUAUUCCUGUGCCUAUGUCAAUGUUAUGUAUAGAUGAUGGUAACAUAAUUAGAGUGAACUUCUUAACGUAGGUUUUUCUGCCGACAUGCGUUAUCUUUGCAUGUUAACUCUUAGACGAACCUUGGAAUCAAUUUAAUUGGAGAAGAGGUCUGUUUAAUUCCAAUUCAGAAGGUUUUUAAGUGUGAAUUAUUUUAUAAUUCUCAUUUAAAAAAGUUCUGUUUUGUAGCAAUAGUAAUUCGAAUUUGGAUUAUCGGUAUGUGAAAACUACCCUUGAAAAAAGAGGGGAACAGCUAUAUGUAAUGGGUAUAUUUUGAAUUUUCAAGAGAGAUGUAUAUUAAACUGUAAUGGUUUGUAAUUAAGCCUACAAAUAUUGCAAUUUGUAUAUAAUUGCUUUUAAAUGAUGAAUAUAUUACAUUAUGAUAGCAUAUAUAACGACAACACAUAGAGCGUACCCACAACCGCAUCAGGUCUCCUAGGUUAGUAGCCUCUGGUUAAAUAGAAAAAUGUAAGUAAGGGAAGUAAGCAAAAUGGAUCCGUAACUUCGGAAAAAGGAUUGGCUCUGAGGGCAUAGAGUAAAUAUUUUUAAUUAAGAUUUGAAAAUGUAAUGUAAAAGUUAUGGCGUAUGCGCUAUAUGCGUUUACAUUAUUUACUUUCUAUGAUUUUUUAUUUAAUAGUUAUUCGGAACCAUAUAAAGUCCCUAUACUGUGACUCUUUAUCAUGGGUAGGCCCUUUAUAUGAGGAAAUCAUGCCAACUCAGAACUGAAACGGACAAGGGGAACCCGACUGUUUAAUAAAAACAUAGCAUUGUGAAAGCCAGAAAUGGUAUUAACACAAUGUGAUUUCUGCCCAGUGCUUUGAAUGUCAAGUUGAUGAAAUUCAAUUAAGCACAGGUGAACGGCGGGAACUAUAACUCUCUCUCUCUUAAGGUAUCCUAUUGCUCGUCAUGAUUUUGUGACGAGACGGAUGGAUUAACGAGGUUCCCACUGUCCCUACUUGCAAUCUAGCGAAACCACAACCAAGGGAACGGGCUUGGUAAAAUCAGCGGGGAAAGAAGACCCUGUUGUGCUUUACUCUAGUCUGGCUUUGUGAAACGACUUAAGAGGUGCAGAAUAAGUGGAAGCCGAGAUUGAAAUAUAUUUUUGCGACAAUGAGAUACCACUACUUUUAAAGUUGUUUUACUUAUCUAUUUACUAGGAUACUAUAUACAUACUAAUUACUGUGUUGAAAGAUAACGCAAAGUUAUCUUAUUAUCCUACACCCAGGUAUAUAGAGACAUAGCCAGGUGGGGAGUUUAACUGGGGCGGUAUAUCUGUCAAAUAAUAAUGCAGAUGUCCAAAGACAAGCUCAAAGAGAACAGAAAUCUCUUGUAGACUAAAAGGGGAAAAGCUUGUUUGAUUUCUAUUUUCAGAAAAAGUAGAAAACGUGAAAGCGUGGCCUAUCGAUCCUUUAUUAUUGCAAAAUUACAAGACUUGUUCUUUACUAUGCAUAUAGAGGUGACUGAAAAGUUACCACAGGGAUAACUGGCUUGUGGCUGCUAAGCGUUCCUAGCGACGUGGCUUUAUGAUAUUCGAUAUCGGCUCUUCCUAUCAUUGGGACGCAGAAGUCCCAAAGUGUCGGAUUGUUCACCCGCUAAUAGGGAACGUGAGCUGGAUUUAGACCGUCGUGAGACAGGUUAGUUUUACCCUACUGAUGAAUUUUAUUAUUUUAAUAUAUAAUAUAUUGUGACAGUAAUCCAACUUGGUACGAGAGGAUUAGUUGGUUCAGACAAUUGGUACAGCGAUUGGUUGACAAACCAUUGUCGCGAAGCUACGUCUGUUGGAUAAUGGCUGAACGCCUCUUAAGCCAGAACCCAUGCUGAUUAAACAAUAUUAUUCGCUCUUUUUUGUGACCUUUUACUACUUAAAUGUAAGAGAGAAAAUAUAUGUAUUCAUUACCAAUAUAUGGUUGAAUAUAACUAUUCCUAUGGUUCAUAAGGACGCAAAUACGUUUCCUAUUGGACAAAAGAAAUUUAACAACAAAAAAGAUAUACACAAAUUGUUGACGACUUUUAUAUCUGAAGGUGCUGUAAAUAUGAAAGAAAACCCUGCUUUACGAUCUGUUGAGGCUUACCCUUCUUGAUAAAGUGUAAUUUUUAUAAAAACCAAAUUUUAAUAUAAUAUAAAAUGAUUAUUUUAUGCUGUAUAUUAAUGUAUGCAACAUAACAUAAUUAUUUUAUAUUAUAUCUUACAAUUUUAAAAAUCAAACUUUUACAUUUCUGAUGAUUGCAAUUAUAUGACAUGUGUGUUUUAAAUCCUUAUUUCUUCUUAUUUUAUAUAUGCCUUUUUAUUAUUAUGUGUUUUGGACUUGGACUUAGGCUUUUUGUAGUUAAUAUGUGCAAAUGUUUUUAACUUAACAUUUGUAUGGAUUCUUAAUUAAGCCUAAGCCCUUAACAAUUUUUAAAAUCAAACUUUUACAUUUCUGAUUAUUGCAAUCACGUGAUAUUUUUUCUUAUUUUUAUAUAUGCCUUUUUAUUAUUAUGUGUUUUGAGCUUUGAACUUAGCCUUUUUGCAUAAUAAUAAUAUACACCUUUUUGAACUUAAGAUUUUUAAUAUAAAUAUAUAAAACCAUUAAUAAUUAUAUAAAUAUUAGUGUCCAAAAAAUGCGGCCGAUAUUAUCGCCAUAUGUCAUGUGAUAGUUUAUUUGAAAAGCACAUAUUUAUGUUCUUACAACAAUAUGAAUUUUUGAAAAAGGCAGGAAACUAGUAUAUUAUUUAUUAGCUAUAUAACAAUAUGACGAAAUUUAUUCAAGUAUUAAUUUUGUAUACUUUCGAAUGGUCAAUCAAUGGAUAACUUAUAGUAAAUUGAUAAAAACAUGUAUGUAAUAUUAUAGUUUAUCCCAAAAUCGUAAUUUUCACAUACUUAUAUAUUUUGAGGAUAUUAUAAGAGAAGUUCAUAGAGGGGAAAUAACUUACACAUGUAGAACUUGGUAAUAUUAUUAAAUAAUAUGCUUUAUUAAAGAGUUAAAAAUAUUUGCAAAUGUAUAUUUAUAAUUUAAUUAUAUAUAACAUGAAGUUGUAAUGUUUUGACAUAAAAUUUUAAUUAUAGUUAAUUCUUUGGAAUAAUUUCUUGUCUUAUUUUACAUGACUUUUAACAAUAUAAAAUGAAAAUAUUAUUAUAUUAGACUGUAAUAUAUUAUAAUACUUUUUAGGUAUCAUAUUAUUUUACUGUGUAAAAUUAAUAAGGUAAUUUUAUGAGCAUGUUAUGAAAAUUAGUUGUAUAAAUGAAAUAAUAAAAUUAGUUGUAUAAAUGAAAUAAUAAAAUUAGUUGUAUAAAUGAAAUAAUAAAAUUAGUUUGUAUGUAUUAAUUAUAAUAUUUAUUAAGUAUUAUACUAUAAUUUUUUUAUGAUGUAGACUUUGUAUAUUUAUACAAUAAAGUAUGUUUAUAAUAUGAGCAAGCAAUUGUGGGGGCAUGUUUAACACUAUUACUACUAAUUAUUAUAUAUUUGUGUAUUUUUUGGGGUCGUAUAAAUGUAUUGUAAAUAAUUAUAUUUUUCAAUUACAUUUAUGGAUAUCAUAUUGGUUAUUCAUUUAAAUUGUCAAAAUAAUAUAAUUAAUUUUAACUUAUUAUUUAAGUUCAAGUUGUAUUAUUUAUACAAUUUAUUGGCACUAACAAAUAUGGUAUAGGAAAUUAUAAAUGGGAGUUCAUUUGAAUAUGAAUAAACCAUAAUAAUGUAUGUGUGUUUUUAAUUAUUUUAUGUGUAAACAAUUUUUUAUAUAGUUAAGAAUCUUUAAUUGUUCAAAAAAAAAUCAACAGUAAUUUAGUAUAACAUAACAACUUAUUAAUCAUAUGUGAAUCGAAUAAAAUGUGGCACGCCACAAAAAAAUAGUAAUAUAAAUACAACAAGUUAAAAAUAUAAUAAAUAAAACGUAUUUUAAAAUUCCCAUGCAUAUACAGGCACAAAAAAUAUAUGCUAUAAAUUACAUAAAAAACUUAAUGUGUUGAAUGAAUAGGUUAUUGACUCUAUAGUUGUAUGCAUUAUAAGCAGCUAAAACAAGACGAAAAUAUAUCGAAUUAUGUUUUGUGAAUAAACGAAAAAAAUUUAACUAUAAUAUAUAUUGCUAUAUAUUAUAUAUAUAUAUUUAAUUUGUUUAUACAUAAAUAGCAUUAUGAAUAUAUCGUUGGUACAACAAAAUAUUGUUAAAAUUUAUGCAUUCGAUUUUGUUUGAUAUGGAUAUUAUUUCCAUACUUCGAACUGUUUAGAUUUGUAAAUUUGUCAUUUCUCAUUUUAUUUUUUAUAAUAUCAUCUCUUGUUGGACUAUUUCUAUGUGAAUAAUAAUUUUUAUAGUUUUUAUUAAUUAAUUUUUUAUUUGAAUAAGUAUGAAAAUGGCCGUUUCUGUUAUAAUUAUUAUUGUUCAUGUUAUGCUUUUCUCCAUUUCCAUAAUAAUAAUCAUGAUUUUUAUAUUUUUUAUAAUGAUAUUCAUCAUCAUUAUAAUUUUCAUUGUAUUUAUUUUUAUAAUAAUUUUCAGGGUGAUAAAAAGGUUUUUUACCGCCACUUUUUGAAUAAUGUUCUUUUUCGUACUUGUUAUAAUCUUGAUAUUUUUUUUCAUAGUCAUUAAUGUCUCCAUUAUCCCGUUCACUAUUUCGUUCAUGUUGUUCAUUUUUUUCAUCAUUAUUUUUUUCAGUAUCAUGUUUUUCUCCGUUGUAUUUAUUAAGUUCAUCUUUAUUAUUGUUAGGGUUAGGAUUAUCGGUAAGGUGGCCAUUGUAAUUAUCUUCAUUGCUAUUUUUACUCUUUAAGUUAUCUUCAAUUUUAUAUGUUUUAUUUGUAUUAAUUUUUUCUUCUGAAUUGGGAGGUGACGUAGUAUUAUUGGAAAUUAAUUUUUCGUCAUCGUUCUUGAUUUUUUUUUCGUACUUAUUUAUAUGCCUAUUACUACUGGUAUAUUUAUUUGGGUAUUUCUCAUAAUUAUGUAUAUAUUUAUUAUCAUAAUUAUUUCCACUUCUUUCAUAUCUAUAAUGCUCAUUUCUAUCAUAUCGACGAUCUUCAUUCCUACUAUUAUACUUAUGAUAUUCAUGCCUGUCAUAUUUAUUACUAUUAUUGUUGCUAUGAUUAUAUUUGUCAUAUCUGUUAUGCUCAUAUUUAGUGUUAUGUUUUUCAUAUUCUCCAUACUUAUAUUUAUUUUCAUUUUGAUGUUCAUACUUAAAAUCAAGUUUUUUGCUAAAUCGUUUAUUCAUUUUAUCUUGUUCAUUAUUACUGUGUCGAUCGUAUUUAUCUGAGUGAUGUGAAUUAUUAUUUUUAUUGAAUUGAUCGUGUUGGUUAUUAAAAUUGCUUUCUUUUUCAUCAUUAUCGUGAUUAUUGGUUUUAUAAUUGGUACUAUCAUAUGAUUUAUAUCUAUUUUCUUUAUGUCUUCUUUCUGAUUCAAUACUCUUAUUAUUUCUGUGUAUUUUAUUGU